CAGCACGUGGGCGACGCACGCCGCGACGCACCGAGGCGGACGGAGGCCACAACGGCGGUCCGUCCCGGACCAAGAGAGAGACACACGGAACGCGACACGUACUGUACUACGUCAGCCGACCAAAGCUCGCCCGUGCUGCGGCCCUGAGACUCCGCGAGCGUGCAAGAGACGGUGGAGCACCCGAGGCAACCGGCGGCGUUUCCUCGCCCGGCCGCUCUCCGCCCCUCGGCGUCGCCGGUGCAAAUGCCUGCGCCGCGACCGCAGCAGCGGGUUCUGCUCGUCGCGGCUGCCUGGAGCCUCGGCCUGCUCUGCCUCGCCGCCGCGGAAGGUGGAGGCGGCUCCUGCGAGCUCUCGGUCGAGCGCGGUGGCGCGCUCUAUAACUUCAGCCUCGCGGCGCCGACGCCGGCCCACCGCCACGGCGUCCUCAGCGAGGAUGGGUUUUACAAAGUGGCCAUGAACGAUUCAGUCAUCUGGUUCCAGCUCUGCGAUCAGAUGAUAUUCAACUUUGACCCACCUGUCUGUCUUCACUGUGAGGACUGUGGUGGUCCAUUGAGGUGUGGCACCCAAUGCAGCGCACUUGCUUCAAAUAACAUUGGAGGGUAUGAUGUUUGUACAACCAUUGGAAGGGCAUCUGGAUCCCAUAUAUCUCUAAUAGCAGAUGAAGGUAAUCCACAAAAGGGUGUCAUUGUCAAGAUGUUUUCAUCAAAGUGUUCUAUUUCUGUUUUCAUCUUUUGUGAUUCAGCUGUAGCCCAACUACCGGAUACAUUCACCCAAUCUGGAAGUUGUGAUUACGUUACGGUACUUAGACACCCUUCUGGGUGUGCAAGAUCAGUGUCUGAUGCUGGAAAUGGCUGGGGAUGGUUAGGCACUUCGUUCAUAACAAUUUUGUGCCUUCUUGGAGGAUACAUUCUGAUUGGUGCAAUCUAUAGAUAUUAUUUCCUCGGCAUUCGUUCUGUAGAGGCCAUUCCGAACCUGGAAUUUUGGAUCAGUUUGCCAUGGAGAAUUAAGAGCAUGUUUGUUCGUCCAAGAAGAAACCCAAGAAGUCAGAGCAGAGAUACUAGAGGUCCAUACACCACUGUAAACCACUGAGAAGUAGAAAAAUUCAAUACCAGUAUUGACAGUCAUACAGUGGACAAGCAUAUGUGGAUUGGGUUGAAAGCAAAACCUUUGAUCUCUGCCCAUAUGCCAGAAUAUGAACCUGCCACAGGAUAGUUUCUGAGCUGCAGUAGCGUAAUCGUGCUACGUGCUGUUCCUGGGCUCUGGUGCAGAUGACCAGUGGUUUGGCUACAAUUUAACAGAUUCCCCUUUUACGGAUUCAUGAAAUUUCCAUGGUCACUUGGCCUUCUCUUGUCUGUUCUGUGCUGCAUUUGUCCUUGGCAAAUCAAAUUCUGCGGACUCGAGUCCUUUGUGGGUAUUGGAGGCUUCAUUUUCGAAAGGAUGGAUGUAAUGCAAUCUGCGAUGUUGUUGAUCUGAAUUUAUGUAUUGCCACUGCUGCCACAAAGAUAUUGAUAUGUGUUGAUGUUUGGAUCAUCAAACCUAGAAGCGUUCGAUGACAAAUAGUUAGUUUGUGCUGCCGAAUAUUCUGUUCAUGAUGCUGUAGACUGGACGAAUUAUGAGGAUGGCAGAAGAGUCACGGACUCGAACUGGGAAGUACGAGUGUAUGCUUCUUGUGUUCUGUAAGUAUAGGAGCUGACAUUUUCUUCUUCUCUCUGCCGUUUUCUUUUUCAUCUGCUCUUGUUUGGGGAGAAUGACUAUUGCGUGAACUACCGACAACUGUAUCUUCUCUUUCGACCCAGCAAAUAACAGAGGUGGAUCUGGGGUGUGUGUACGAUCGUAUC